GAUGAACGCUGGCGGCGUGCCUAAUACAUGCAAGUCGAGCGAACAGAUGAGAAGCUUGCUUCUCUGAUGUUAGCGGCGGACGGGUGAGUAACACGUGGGUAACCUACCUAUAAGACUGGGAUAACUCCGGGAAACCGGGGCUAAUACCGGAUAAUAUUUUGAACCGCAUGGUUCAAUAGUGAAAGACGGUUUCGGCUGUCACUUAUAGAUGGACCCGCGCCGUAUUAGCUAGUUGGUAAGGUAACGGCUUACCAAGGCGACGAUACGUAGCCGACCUGAGGGGGUGAUCGGCCACACUGGAACUGAGACACGGUCCAGACUCCUACGGGAGGCAGCAGUAGGGAAUCUUCCGCAAUGGGCGAAAGCCUGACGGAGCAACGCCGCGUGAGUGAUGAAGGUCUUCGGAUCGUAAAACUCCGUUGUUAGGGAAGAACAAAUUUGUUAGUAACUGAACAAGUCUUGACGGUACCUAACCAGAAAGCCACGGCUAACUACGUGCCAGCCGCCGCUGUAA
rnacentral:rRNA from 1 species